ACAUAAACGUCGCUCGACUUUCGCGAACUGCAAUCGUGUCUUCUGCACCGUGGAGAUUACAUUGAAAGUAGCUCCGUAAGCGGUGACAGCUUGAAAGUUUAAAAAAUUUUCUGCCUUACAGCAUCGUACGCGGCCAUAUAACAGUCUACUAUAGUUACUCAUGGUUACUUCUGGUCAAAUAAUUAGAACCACUUGCAAUAACUCUUCGCUUACGGACAACAGCAUCUGCCCGAAGAGUUAACGCAAACAAUGACCGUCAAACUAGCCGCCAAUUUGUGCUCGAACAAAUGUCACAGCCCUUGUGACGUCAAACGGCUGCUUCUGCGUUCAAGUAUCACGAAAGGGGACUGAAUUUAGAGCAAUUUGCUACAUCACGAAAAAAAUGCGUUCAGUCAGAGAGAGGAUUCGGUGGUGGCUCGGCGACAGGCACACUUGAAAAUAGAAUCGCGUACUCGAAACUCUUCAAGGCCUUGGGCAGGAAGCCGAGAAGAGGCCAAUGGAUUUUCGUGGCCAGGGCUACGGCAUCCGGUUGCUCAAUGUUUUUAUCGUACACAUGAACGCGUGUACAGUACACGUUGUAGAAGCAACGAGGACUUUCGCUUUCGAAAGCUGCGCCACUUAUCGAUUGACUUUCUUCUCUUCCGCUGUCGUUUGUUUUCUGGACAGAAUCUGUUAUUGUUACACAAAAAAUUUUUAUACUUCGACAGACACAGAUUUUACAAGAUUUAUGAUAUUUCUAAUUUUAAGCUCUUUUUUAUUUAAUAGCUAAGGAGGAAUCAUUCAUAAAAUUGUUUUUAAUUUUUAACACCUUGACUGCUACGGUGAAAAUGAGCAUUUGUUGUGAGACGUAUUAAAGCUUUAAUUAUUAAGAAUGGGAAUAGUUAAUUUUCAAAUUUUUAAUUUCAAGCAUUCUACUUGCUAUUUUACAUGAUUUGUAUAAUAGCGAUAUUAUUUAAAAUAAUGUUUCUCUAUUGUCUUCUUUUAAUUAUUCAGGCAUGUGUAUGUAAUUUGCGGUGCCGGUCACCCUAUGGCAUCCAACGCGUUGAUUAUAAUUCAUAUUGCAUAUCAUUAAAUCAAUAACAUGCAAUUAUUUUACUCACCAGCAACUUUGAAUCAACUCGCUCUCGCGCUCGCUUGUGUUACAUAUAUUCUAGCAAUGAGUUUCGAUAGUCUUUUGUUUUACGCAUUUAUGCGCGGCGUUCAAAUUUGGGAAACUUCAAAAUUUCCAACCUCAUAUAUGGAGGGCCAAUUAUCGUAUACACUGUAAUCAAACUGUAUUCGAUGAUUUGUAUAAUAAAAUUAUUUAAAAUUAAA